UACAAAUGUCCUAAAAAAACUCAAAAUCAGUCUCAGGACCCAAUUUUGGCCAAUUUUAGAAUUCUAGCACGGCAGCUCCCCGUGGCGGCGGUCCGCCUCGGGUCGGAUGUUUUAAGCCGUUUUUGACUGAAUUCAGCCGAUUUUGCAUCAAUCCUUGCGAGAAAAUACGUUAAGGAGGCUUGGUUUCCCGAAAAAAUUUAAAAAAUCAAAAUUCACCAAUGGCGGGGCUAUCUUGUGCGACAGCUCCU
rnacentral:lncRNA from 1 species